rnacentral:lncRNA from 1 species
AAAGAAAAAACAAAUACAUUUUUAUUACAACAUGCAUGGUCAUAUCUUAGAACAAGUUCAAUCUGCAAAAUAUUUAGGCAUUACACUUUCUUCAGACCUCAAAUGGAACAAACAUAUUCAACAAUCAGCAGCAAAAGCAAACCAAUCAUUAGCAUUCAUCAGACGUAAUCUAAAAAUAAAUUCUAAAUUAGUUAAGGAAAGAGCCUACCAAACAAUAGUUAGACCAAAACUAGAAUACUGCUGUACAGUUUGGGAUCCAUACACCUCAGAAAAUAUAUAUAAGUUGGAACAAGUACAAAGAAGAGCUGCAAGAUAUACUUACAACAGAUAUCACAAUACCAGCAGUGUAUCUGAAAUGAUAGAACAUCUAAAAUGGCAAUCCUUACAAGAACGCAGACUAAAAACCAGACUCCAAAUGUUGCACAAAGUCAUCAACAAUGAAAUUGCAAUACCAUCGCAAGAUAUACUCAUAAAAAGCCAGUCUAAAACAAGAACUACCCAUCAACAGACAUACAGACA